rnacentral:rRNA from 1 species
GGCCUACGGGCGGCAGCAGUGAGGAAUUUUGCGCAAUGGGGGCAACCCUGACGCAGCAACGCCGCGUGAGUGAAGAAGGCCUUUGGGUCGUAAAGCUCUGUCAAUCGGGAAGAAGUUAUGGGAGUCGAAUAGGCUUUUGUAUUGACGGUACCGAUGAAGGAAGCAUCGGCUAACUCCGUGCCAGCAGCCGCGGUAAUACGGGGGAUGCAAGCGUUAUUCGGAAUUAUUGGGCGUAAAGGGCGCGUAGGCGGUUUUGUCGGUCAGAUGUGAAAGCCCGGGGCUCAACCCCGGACGUGCAUUUGAAACAGCAAGACUUGAGUACGGGAGAGGAAAGCGGAAUUCCUGGUGUAGAGGUGAAAUUCGUAGAUAUCAGGAGGAACACCGAUGGCGAAGGCAGCUUUCUGGACCGAUACUGACGCUGAGGCGCGAAGGCGUGGGUAGCGAACAGGAUUAGAUACCCUUGUAGUCC